rnacentral:tRNA from 1 species
AAUUUUGAAACAAUUAAUUGUAAUCAGUUUCGACCUGAUAUUUAAGUUUUUAUUUAAACUCAAAAUUU